UGGGGAAUAUUGGGCAAUGGGCGCAAGCCUGACCCAGCAACGCCGCGUGAAGGAAGAAGGCUUUCGGGUUGUAAACUUCUUUUACCAGGGACGAAACAAAUGACGGUACCUGGUGAAUAAGCCACGGCUAACUACGUGCCAGCAGCCGCGGUAAUACGUAGGUGGCGAGCGUUAUCCGGAUUUAUUGGGUGUAAAGGGCGUGUAGGCGGGACAGCAAGUCAGAUGUGAAAACCAGAGGCUCAACCUCUGGCCUGCAUUUGAAACUGUUGUUCUUGAGUGUCGGAGAGGUAAUCGGAAUUCCGUGUGUAGCGGUGAAAUGCGUAGAUAUACGGAGGAACACCAGUGGCGAAGGCGGAUUACUGGACGAUAACUGACGCUGAGGCGCGAAAGCGUGGGGAGCAAACA
rnacentral:rRNA from 1 species